AAGCUUCUCACCCUGGCCAGGGAUGGCACACUCCUGGCUACAUACUCAGACCCAGCACUAGAGAGCCCACUUGGUCUACAUGUGACCCCUGCAGGCCAGGUGCUGGUCUGUGGACGCUGGUCCUACACUGUACUACAGGUGGGCUGGGAGGGGGAGAGUAAGCUGGCUACGCUGGCUUCUCAGAAGGAUGGAGUGUGGAGGCCAUUGUCAGUCUGCUACAGCAGCACCACAUCAUCCAUCAUUGUGGGACAGCUGGGGGACUACAUCCUGGUGUUCAGAGUGGAAUAGUGUGUACAUUGGCUGCUGAGUCAGGACAACGAUGCUGAGGAUGUGGUGGACAAGAAUAACCUGAAUACGCAGAAGGACAGCACCACCAUUGACAUCGAGUUGGCCCAGCAACAGCACCAGUCCUGCCUGCAGGAGCCCCAGUCAAGGACGACCCAUCCACUCCCCUGACCCAUAGCUCAUCAUACUUGAUAUCCGGAAAAAUGGGGCCUAAUGCAUGUGCUUAAAUUGUUGUCACAGAUAAGCCUGUGCAAAUUGCACAGGCUAAUAAUGGACAACACUUUCUUCUUAAAGCAGAGCACCAGCAUUGAUAUUGAGUUGGCACAACAACUGCACCAGUCCCGCCUGCAGGAGCCCCAGGCUAGAACGACCCUUCCCCUCCCUUGACUUCUAACUCCUCCCCCUUGACCUCCUGCCUCAAAAAGUCAGCAUCGUUGAACAACUCCGUUCUGCAGGAAAGAAAAUUCUGAGCAUGAUUCUGUUCUGAACAAACGCUAUGCCCACGUCACGUUUUCCAAACAUAAGCCUGGGUAGUUUUGUUAAGCUAGAGUUCUGUGUGGGCCAGAAAGGGACGAGUGUUACAGACACGAAAAGUUAUAGCAUUAGUUAUGGUAACGCUAACAGUCAGUUGUUGCUGUUGGACAUCACAACAAAUAUCAUGAAGAAUAAAAAGUUCAAUAACUCGUUCCAAUCUUUAUGAGACAAACAGAAAUUGAACGGGAGAAAAUCAAAGAACAAUAAAAGCGUAAGCUUUCCUAGUGGGAUACUUCUGCUGUUAAUAGUUUGGACAACAGUAGGGUUGUGGACUGCCGUAGAUUGUCUUCUCAGCGGCCAAAAUAUCAUAAUAGAACGGACUUUUGGCAAUGUUACUGACAAAGAAAGGCAAUAAUGACUUGGUUUUGAAUACCCAGAGCACGAUACAUCCAUGCUGACAAAGAAAGGCAGUAAUGACUUGGUUGUGAACACCCAGAGCGCGAUACAUCCAUGCUGACAAAGAAAGGCAGUAAUGACUUGGUUGUGAACACCCAGAGCACGAUACAUCCGUGCUGACACAGAAAGGCAGUAAUGACUUGGUUGUAAACACCCAGAGCACAA